ACCUACGGGGGGCAGCAGUGGGGAAUAUUGCGCAAUGGGCGAAAGCCUGACGCAGCAACGCCGUGUGAGGGAUGAAGGCUUUCGGGUCGUAAACCUCUGUCGGAAGGGAAGAACGGGCAUUGGUCUAAUAGGCCUUUGUUUUGACGGUACCUUUAGAGGAAGCACCGGCUAACUCCGUGCCAGCAGCCGCGGUAAUACGGAGGGUGCAAGCGUUAUUCGGAAUUACUGGGCGUAAAGCGCACGUAGGCGGCUUCGUAAGUCAGGGGUGAAAUCCCACGGCUCAACCGUGGAACUGCCUUUGAAACUGCAAAGCUUGAAUCCUGGAGAGGGUGGCGGAAUUCCUGGUGUAGGAGUGAAAUCCGUAGAUAUCAGGAGGAACACCGGUGGCGAAGGCGGCCACCUGGACAGGUAUUGACGCUGAGGUGCGAAAGUGUGGGGAGCAAACAGGAUUAGAUACCCUGGUAGC
rnacentral:rRNA from 1 species